UACGGAAGGCAGCAGUGGGGAAUAUUGCACAAUGGGCGCAAGCCUGAUGCAGCCAUGCCGCGUGUAUGAAGAAGGCCUUCGGGUUGUAAAGUACUUUCAGUCGUGAGGAAGGUGUUAAGGUUAAUAACCUUAGCAAUUGACGUUAGCGACAGAAGAAGCACCGGCUAACUCCGUGCCAGCAGCCGCGGUAAUACGGAGGGUGCGAGCGUUAAUCGGAAUUACUGGGCGUAAAGGGCACGCAGGCGGUUAAUUAAGUUGGAUGUGAAAUCCCCGGGCUUAACCUGGGAAUGGCAUUCAAGACUGGUUAGCUAGAGUCUUGUAGAGGGGGUAGAAUUCCAUGUGUAGCGGUGAAAUGCGUAGAGAUGUGGAGGAAUACCGGUGGCGAAGGCGGCCCCUGGGACAAAGGACUGACGCUCAUGUGCGAAAGCGUGGGGAGUAAACAGGGAUUAGAUACC
rnacentral:rRNA from 1 species